rnacentral:rRNA from 1 species
CUACGGGGGGCUGCAGUGGGGAAUAUUGCACAAUGGGCGCAAGCCUGAUGCAGCCAUGCCGCGUGUAUGAAGAAGGCCUUCGGGUUGUAAAGUACUUUCAGCGGGGAGGAAGGGAGUAAAGUUAAUACCUUUGCUCAUUGACGUUACCCGCAGAAGAAGCACCGGCUAACUCCGUGCCAGCAGCCGCGGUAAUACGGAGGGUGCAAGCGUUAAUCGGAAUUACUGGGCGUAAAGCGCACGCAGGCGGUUUGUUAAGUCAGAUGUGAAAUCCCCGGGCUCAACCUGGGAACUGCAUCUGAUACUGGAAAGCUUGAGGCUCGUAGAGGGGGGUAGAAGUCCAGGUGUAGCGGUGAAAUGCGUAGAGAUCUGGAGGAAUACCGGUGGCGAAGGCGGCCCCCUGGACGAAGACUGACGCUCAGGUGCGAAAGCGUGGGGAGCAAACAGGAUUAGAUACCCGCGUAGUC